CCUACGGGCGGCAGCAGUGAGGAAUAUUGGUCAAUGGGCGCGAGCCUGAACCAGCCAAGUCGCGUGAGGGAAGACGGUCCUAUGGAUUGUAAACUUCUUUUGUCGGGGAGCAAAAGACGCCACGCGUGGCGUUCCGAGAGUACCCGAAGAAAAAGCAUCGGCUAACUCCGCGCCAGCAGCCGCGGUAAUACGGGGGAUGCGAGCGUUAUCCGGAUGUAUUGGGUUAAAGGGGUGCGCAGGCGGAAGAUCAAGUCAGCGGUAAAAUUGAGGGGCUCAACCUCUUCGAGCCGUUGAAACUGGUUUUCUUGAGUGAGCGAGAGGUAUGCGGAAUGCGUGGUGUAGCGGUGAAAUGCAUAGAUAUCACGCAGAACUCCGAUUGCGAAGGCAGCAUACCGGCGCUCAACUGACGCUCAUGCACGAAAGUGUGGGUAUCGAACAGGAUUAGAUACCCGGGUAGUC
rnacentral:rRNA from 1 species